rnacentral:misc_RNA from 1 species
GUCUGUAAUUUAAGCCACCAAAAGUUUUUUGCUUGCUUGUGAGAACUUUAAGAAUUUAAGAUGAGAAAACGAUGGGAAUAUAUGCUUGGUGUUUCCUUUUGAACAUAAGUUAGAAGACACCAUGCGCUAGUAUACCAAAAACCAGGGCAACCUCAUUAAACCAACAGGCAAUAUCAAAUUAGUCAAACUAUGAACGUUAAUAAUGAUAUGAACCUAGUGUUUAACAGAGCUGAAUAGUAAAAAAUUAUUCAUAAAGUUUCAUGUAGUCAACUCUAACUAAUUUAAAAAUAAGGUUUAGUUGUUGUAUGAAUGCUUACAAAGCUAGGUACUGCCCAUCUCUUUCUUGAGCUCAUUGCAGUAGAAGUCUUAUUCCUCUACGGCAUAUGCUUCUUUUCUUUCUCAGUUGUUAAACUAAAAUCUUGGCAAUAAUUUUUUUUU